UACGGGAGGAGCAGUGGGGAAUAUUGCACAAUGGGCGCAAGCCUGAUGCAGCCAUGCCGCGUGUAUGAAGAAGGCCUUCGGGUUGUAAAGUACUUUCAGUCGUGAGGAAGGUGUUAAGGUUAAUAACCUUAGCAAUUGACGUUAGCGACAGAAGAAGCACCGGCUAACUCCGUGCCAGCAGCCGCGGUAAUACGGAGGGUGCGAGCGUUAAUCGGAAUUACUGGGCGUAAAGGGCACGCAGGCGGUUAAUUAAGUUGGAUGUGAAAUCCCCGGGCUUAACCUGGGAAUGGCAUUCAAGACUGGUUAGCUAGAGUCUUGUAGAGGGGGUAGAAUUCCGAUGUGUAGCGGUGAAAUGCGUAGAGAUGUGGAGGAAUACCGGUGGCGAAGGCGGCCCCUGGACAAAGACUGACGCUCAUGUGCGAAAGCGUGGGGAGCAAACAGGGAUUAGAUACCCGU
rnacentral:rRNA from 1 species